GUGAAUCAUCGAAUUUUUGAACGCAAAUUGCACUCUCCGGUUUUCCGGGAGAGUAUUCCUGUUUACGGGUCAGCCUAAAUAAAAUCGGCUUAGUCGCUUGCUGUGUUGUUCACGGUAACGUUGGUCUAAAUUUGGGUCAUCUUAACGCGAAAGGUUUUUAAUCUACUUAAAAUUUUCUUACGAUCUCGCGUACGUUUCUAAGAUUUUCUUGCACGUUCAUGGUAUCGAUA
rnacentral:misc_RNA from 1 species